UGGGGAAUAUUGCACAAUGGGCGCAAGCCUGAUGCAGCCAUGCCGCGUGUAUGAAGAAGGCCUUCGGGUUGUAAAGUACUUUCAGCGAGGAGGAAGGCGUUGUGGUUAAUAACCGCAACGAUUGACGUUACUCGCAGAAGAAGCACCGGCUAACUCCGUGCCAGCAGCCGCGGUAAUACGGAGGGUGCAAGCGUUAAUCGGAAUUACUGGGCGUAAAGCGCGCGCAGGCGGUCUGUCAAGUCGGAUGUGAAAUCCCCGGGCUCAACCUGGGAACUGCAUCCGAAACUGGCAGGCUAGAGUCUUGUAGAGGGGGGUAGAAUUCCAGGUGUAGCGGUGAAAUGCGUAGAGAUCUGGAGGAAUACCGGUGGCGAAGGCGGCCCCCUGGACAAAGACUGACGCUCAGGUGCGAAAGCGUGGGGAGCAAACA
rnacentral:rRNA from 1 species